UUACCGUCUUAUCGUGAUAAGACACUUGUGUAUAAAAGGACCACCUUUGCGCUCACUGCAUCUAGACUGAAGGCAUCACCAUGUUUGCAACAAAACUCUGCUUGGUUCUACUGGUUAUGUGUGUAGCUGUUGGAUCGGUUUCGGCAAGCCCUACCAAAAGGCUUUCAUGUGACACUGAUGCCUGUAUAGCGCAGUUGUUAUCUUCUCGGUCAUCUACAUGGCUGGUGUGACUUGCAUAACAUAUGCCACUGCAAUACGUAGUCACGUGGCACAUAGUGAGUAACACU
rnacentral:lncRNA from 1 species